CCCCAGGUCAGGCGGGACUACCCGCUGAGUUUAA
rnacentral:rRNA from 13 species